AACGAACGCUGGCGGCAGGCCUCAAACAUGCAAGUCUAGGGGGUGUAGCAAUACAUCACCGGCGGACGGGUGCGUAACGCGUGGGAAUAUACCUAUCGAUUCGGAACAACUGAGGGAAACUUCAGCUAAUACCGAAUACGUCCUAACGGAGAAAGAUUUAUCGUCGAUAGAUUAGCCCGCGUUCGAUUAGCUAGUUGGUGGGGUAACGGCCCACCAAGGCGACGAUCGAUAGCUGUUCUGAGAGGAAGAUCAGCCACACUGGGACUGAGACACGGCCCAGACUCCUACGGGAGGCAGCAGUUGGGAAUCUUGGACAAUGGGGGAAACCCUGAUCCAGCCAUGCCGCGUGAGUGAUGAAGGCCUUCGGGUUGUAAACUCUUUCGCGCACGACGAUAAUGACGGUAGUGCGAGAAGAAGCUCCGGCUAACUUCGUGCCAGCAGCCGCGGUAAU
rnacentral:rRNA from 1 species